CCGUUCAAUACUGCGGAGCUCGAGGGCAGAAGAGGGGGGUGGAAUUGCUGGUGUAGUGGUGAAAUGCGUAGAUAUCAGCAGGAGCACCUGUGGCGAAAGCGGCCCCCUGGUCUGCUCCUGACACUCAGACGCGAAAGCUAGGGGAGUGAACGGGAUUAGAAACCCCGGUAAUCCUAGCCGUAAACGAUGGAUGCUAGGUGUGGGUGGUAUUGACCCCAUCCGUGCCGAAGCCAACGCGUUAAGCAUCCCGCCUGGGGACUACGGCCGCAAGGUUAAAACUCAAAGGAAUUGACGGGGACCCGCACAAGCAGCGGAGCGUGUGGUUUAAUUCGAUGCUACACGAAGAACCUUACCCAGGUUUGACAUGCAGGUAGUAGUGAAGCGAAAGCGGAACGAUCCUUCGGGAAGCCUGCACAGGUGCUGCAUGGCUGUCGUCAGCUCGUGCCGUGAGGUGUUUGGUUAAGUCCACUAACGAGCGCAACCCCUGUCGUCAGUUACAUGUGUCUGGCGAGACUGCCGGUCUUAAACCGGAGGAAGGUGGGGAUGACGUCAAGUCAGCAUGGCCUUUAUAUCUGGG
rnacentral:rRNA from 1 species